AGGUUAUGCAAGAGAAGCGGGGCAGGUGAGAGUGCAGGAUCGGGGAGGCUGAAUUCCAACUGUGGAGGAGCCAGCAGUGAUGGUCAAUCUCACACUUCAAAAAAUUUGCCCCCUGCUGUCCUCCUCUGGCAUGAUAGGUGUGUGGCCUACACGUGGGCAAAUCAGAUCAUCUGCAACGGUGUUUCUCAACCCCAGCACUGCUGGCAAUUUGGAAAGUCUGAAAUUUUAAUAGAGCAAAGAAUUUGGAGGCAUAUCAACCUAGUUACCUAUGCUGGAUGUAUAAAUACUGCUGCAUCGUUUCGGCAAAUCACCCAACCUCUUUGAGGCUCAGUUCUAUCUCCGUCACUUUUCAAGAAAUUAAACAAGAGGAUUUAAGAAAAAGAAUCAGCAUCCAGAAUUCUGGAACCUCGAAACACAUUGCAGUUAAUUCUCUACAAAACCUUUUCCAAUGAUUCUAAUGAGAAUUAAAUGCUCCUUUCUGCUCCGACAGUAAUGCUUGUUCCUCUUCUUGGGAUUAAUAUCAUUGAUUUGUGCCAGGCAGUGUGUUAAGCUGUUUGUGAAGGACUAUUUCCUCCACUACACGACUUCUUUCUCAGGAGCAGGGAGCAUGUUGACUUUUCCUUUGUAUCGACAACAUGGUAUCACGCUCAUAGAAGGCUAUGUUCAGAGAUUCAUACUUCAUUCAACAAAGAUUUAUCAAAUGCCCUGCUAAGUGUCAGUUGCUAUUUGUCAUUUAUGGAGGAACUCACACGUUCUGAUUCUCACAUAGGAUAUCACAUCUGCCCUUGAAGAAUUCAUGGUCUGAUGCAUUGAUAAAUGUUGAUUGAUUAAAGAAUGAAAGAUAAAUAUGUGUGUGGCAUGGCUAAGGACAGAACUUCAAUCACUGAGAUGGUGGGCAUAAAACAGGGCAAACAGCAGCAAUUGUCACUAAUUAAACAUUUGCCAUAGGCCAGACACUGUGCUUUAUAUUUUACACAUUUGCCUGAUUAGUCCUUCUCAGAAUAAUUCCACAUUCAUUAUUAUCCUCACUUUAGAGAGGAGAGAACCAAAGCCCAAUGAAGCUUGGUCACUUGCUGGUAAGUGCCUGACAUUGAUGAGUACCUUGCCAAGAAGUGUCAGGCAGCAGCUGACACCAAUCUAAAGAGAGAAGAAGAAAUUCUGAGCCUUUCUAUGAGGACGCUGCCUGGGCUUAGUAUACCUGCUUGCCUGAGAAAUUGUGAGAAGAAAGGAAAUGAACAUAGUAACAGGCCAGCCACUGCCAAAAUGAUACACUAUUAGCCACGCCAGCACUUCCAAAAUUAAGAUCUGCACAAAGUGAAGAAAGAAGAACCCCAGGUUGGCAUGGAACAUGUUCAUAGCCUCUGCGAUGCUCCACAAUUCUUGGAAAUCUUUUACCAACUGGGACUAUGAAAUAAAUAUUCAAAGAGUAAAUUAGCUCUUUCAGGGGAAAGGGAAUACAGAUGAACAUAAUUAAUAAUUUAUUUUAUUAAUUUUGUAUACAUCUCUUUUAUUAAUAGAAUUUUAUUAAUACAUUUAAUUGUCCAGAAUUAAAAC
rnacentral:lncRNA from 1 species